CGUAGGGGGCAAGCGUUGUCCGGAUUUAUUGGGCGUAAAGCGCGUGCAGGCGGCCAGGUAGGUCCGCUGUGAAAACUCGAGGCUCAACUUCGAGACGUCGGCGGAAACCAUCUGGCUAGAGUCCGGAAGAGGAGAGUGGAAUUCCUGGUGUAGCGGUGAAAUGCGCAGAUAUCAGGAAGAACACCUAUGGCGAAGGCAGCUCUCUGGGACGGUACUGACGCUGAGACGCGAAAGCGUGGGGAGCAAACAGGAUUAGAUACCCUGGUAGUCCACGCCGUAAACGAUGGGUGCUAGGUGUGGGCGGUGUCGACUCCGUCCGUGCCGAAGCUAACGCAUUAAGCACCCCGCCUGGGGAGUACGGCCGCAAGGCUA
rnacentral:rRNA from 1 species